GGAGAACUCAUGGAGCUCUAUGAGAGAGAACAUUGGCUCUGUAACAAGAAGUGAAAGCAUCAUCAUUCCACAUAGGUUAAAAGAAUGUGAAAGAGGUGAUCCCAUGAGAGAUCAUUCUGAGAAUCUAGGAAAAUCUUAUGAUUUUUCUAAGAAACUGGGGCAGAGCAAAGAAAAACCCAGUUGAGAGAAGGAUACUGACCCUGCUCUCAUGUCCCAGCCAGUGUUCCCUAUUUGUGACAUCAAACAAUGCCCCCAGAAUGGCUACUACUGUGGUGCAUUCACCACCUAGCUGAGAACACCCUCUCAAACCCAGGACAGAGAUCUCUGGAUUCCUCAUUGAUGAAGCCACAGUGCCCAGAACAAUGACCUACUCAUGGCAGACCCUCAGAAACUAUUUGUGGCUGAAACAGAUAUUAGGAACACUUCCCAAGACAACUAACUGUGUGCGCAGUGAAGACUGGCGCUGGAAGAAGAAAAAGCUUUUAGCAAGAUUAAGUUUUCUAGACACAGCUCUCUUUUGCCUGGCAGAGAACAGAAUUCCCCUACACUGUCUCGACUACCCUCUCUGGAAGCAGCCUAGGUCAUCACCCCACCAAGGAAGAAGGUUCCUCAAACAGUGACGACACCGUGAACACAGAUGCCAACGGAGGCCAGUCUGUUGAGGAUACAGGACAUGAAUGAAAUCAUACACCUAUAUGCUGAAAGGACUAAUCCAGCAGAUGGGGAGAAAGAAAAUAAUAAUGCCAGAAGGGGAGAAAAGAACAGCUGGAGAAGGAGCCUUAAAUGUGUAAAUGCUGCAAUCUACUGCUCAAGUAGAAGACUAGAUUUUGUUAGGAGCACUGAUACUGAAUCAUGAGAACAAGAAGGAAAAAAAUGAAGGUAUGAAGAUAGUUAACACAGGCAAACUUUUUGGUACUUUAAUAAAUA